rnacentral:rRNA from 1 species
UACGUAGGUGGCGAGCGUUGUCCGGAUUUACUGGGCGUAAAGGGCUCGUAGGCGGCCAACUAAGUCAGACGUGAAAUCCCUCGGCUUAACCGGGGAACUGCGUCUGAUACUGGAUGGCUUGAGUUUGGGAGAGGGAUGCGGAAUUCCAGGUGUAGCGGUGAAAUGCGUAGAUAUCUGGAGGAACACCGGUGGCGAAGGCGGCAUCCUGGACCAACACUGACGCUGAGUGAGCGAAAGCCAGGGGAGCAAACGGG